GCAUCAUGAUUCGGCGACUUAAUAUACGUCGCGAGGCUAAGCCGAUAGGUGGAGCCGGAGCGAAAGCGAGUCCGAAACGGGCGAUUAGUGGCGUGUAUUAUAACCCGAAGCGGGAUGAUCUACGCAUGGCCAGGUUGAAGUGCGGGUAACACCGCAUGGAGGACCGAACUCAUGAGAGUUGAAAAUCUCUGGGAUGAGCUGUGCGUAGGGGUGAAAGGCCAAUCAAAUUCCGUGAUAGCUGGUUCUCCCCCGAAAAGAUAUUUUAGGUAUCGGCUCGGGCAAUUCAGUACCGAAGGUAGAGCACUGGAACGGCUAGGGGUCUCACCAGAUUACCAAACCAUACCAAACUCCGAAUGUCGGUAACUGUUAACCCGGGACGCAGACGGUGGGUGAUAACGUCCAUCGUCAAGAGGGGAAUAACCCAGACCAACAGCUAAGGUCCCCAAGUUCAGGCUAAGUGAACACUAGAAAGGAUGUGGCGGGUCAUUGACAACCAGGAU
rnacentral:rRNA from 1 species